rnacentral:rRNA from 14 species
AGGUAAAGCGAAUGAUUAGAGGAAUUGGGGGCAUGCUGUCCUUGACCUAUUCUCAAACUAAAUGGGUAAGAUGCAAUGGUUGCUUUUUUGAACUUUUGGAAUAAAUGGCAAUAUCAAGUGGGCCAUUUUUGGUAAGCAGAACUGGCGAUGCGGGAUGAACCGAACGCGAGGUUAAGGUGCCGGAAUACACGCUCAUCAGACACCACAAAAGGUGUUAGUUCAUCUAGACAGCAGGACGGUGGCCAUGGAAGUCGGAAUCCGCUAAGGAGUGUGUAACAACUCACCUGCCGAAUCAAUUAGCCCCGAAAAUGG